AGCAUGUGAUGCAACGGAGAAUGCAUCCACCUUAUUUUCACUCAAGAACAACACUGUUACUUAUGCUCAUUUAGUUAAAGGUAACGCUGGGGAGUUCUCUACCUCUACUCAUCUAGCAGUUCCAGAGAGCAUUCAGACUGCUGAUGGCACAACACAACUAAUGGUUUAUACGGGUACAGUUAGGGGUGAUCUUUCAAUAAAAGGGAAUUGGCCAGAGACUUGGGAUCGACAUGUGACAUAACGGAGUAUGGUAUUUGGAUAGAAAAGGGAUGGACUCAGCUAUGAAAUCCAUGACAGGGAGUGUUGGUGCAGGAGAAUCUGGGAGGAGUGUGAAGAAUGUAAUGUUGUUACAUCACAGACCCAUGAGACACUCUUUAUUUAGUCUAUUGAGUUAAUUGUAUCAUUCUCUGUAUGAAAAAACAAAUAAAUAAAAACUUGUGUGUGAUGCUUGUGAGUUUAGUAAGUAAAUCAGAAGCUCUUAUGUGAGUUCUAGCUAGAAGAGUCCUUGUGUCUUGAUUUGGUACAUUCAGAU